rnacentral:lncRNA from 1 species
CGCACGUGGGCCGGGAUGGUGGUGACCGGCGCAUGUGGGCGAUUACAGCAGUGCCAGGGGUGCACACAGCUAGCAACACGGGAGUAGCUAGCAGCAGCGGGCGAGCAGACAAGUACAGCUGGGUCAUGGACACGGGAUCGCCCAUGAACGUAUCGCCGCUGCGGGAGUUGAUGUCCGACUUCAAAGAGAGCAGCGUGCAGCUGCGGGGGUUCAACGGCGCGCAGUCGGCAAGCAUCGGGGUCGGGUCUAUGAUCCUACACGUGCUGGGGGCCGACGGAGUAGUCAAUUACUUGCGCCUGAAUGACGUGCAGUGCGUCCCUGAGGCGGAUUGCAACCUCAUGUCGCGCGAGACUAUGCUGGAGGCUGGGGCUGAAUGGAACCGCACCUACCGCGCGGUGGGUUCCGA